GGGCAGGCUAGGCUGGCGUGCUAGCCCUACGUUCCAGCACAAAUGGGCUUUAUGGUGGGCUGAAGCCCUGAAAAGGCUUUGCUGAAAUGCUUCGGUCUCAACGCCGACGUUGACGCUCUGUCCUGCAGGGUUGGUUUUUUUGAAAACCAUGUCAGGUCCGGAAGGAAGCAGCAUUUAUCAGGGAAAUCGACGCUUGCGGGGAAGCGGAGCCGAGGGAGCGCUGAGGUUAAACCGCAGCCUUUCUGCUUUGUCGAUUUAGGGCGGCUUGCCC
rnacentral:SRP_RNA from 1 species